rnacentral:rRNA from 1 species
GACGAACGCUGGCGGCGUGCUUAACACAUGCAAGUCGAACGGAAAGGCCCUGCUUUUGUGGGGUGCUCGAGUGGCGAACGGGUGAGUAACACGUGAGUAACCUGCCCUUGACUUUGUGAUAACGUCAGGAAACUGGGGCUAAUAACGGUUAGGAGCCCCUGUUGCAUGGUGGGGGUUGGAAAGUUUCGGCGGUUGGGGAUGGACUCCCGGCUUAUCAGCUUGUUGGUGGGGUAGUGGCUUACCAAGGCUUUGACGGGUAGCCGGCCUGAGCGGGUGACAGGCCCCAUGAGGACUGAGGCACGGCACAGACUCCAACGGGGACUCGCAGUGGGGAAUAUUCAACUAUGCGCGGCAGCACGACGCAGCGCCGCCGCGUGCGGGAUGACGGCCUUCGGGUUGUAAACCGCUUUCGCCUGUGACGAAGCGUGAGUGACGGUAAUGGGUAAAGAAGCACGGGCUAACUACGUG